UACGUAGGGUGCAAGCGUUAAUCGGAAUUACUGGGCGUAAAGCGUGCGCAGGCGGUUUUGUAAGUCUGAUGUGAAAUCCCCGGGCUCAACCUGGGAAUUGCAUUGGAGACUGCAAGGCUAGAAUCUGGCAGAGGGGGGUAGAAUUCCACGUGUAGCAGUGAAAUGCGUAGAGAUGUGGAGGAACACCGAUGGCGAAGGCAGCCCCCUGGGUCAAGAUUGACGCUCAUGCACGAAAGCGUGGGGAGCAGACAGG
rnacentral:rRNA from 1 species